GCACAAGGCUGGUUUCUUCCCAUCCUUUUCCUUGUUCUGCCUCUCUCCUCCUCUCCAAGAGACGAAUACAUUUGGGCCCAGUAGGGACCUAUGUUUGCAAAAGCUCGCAGGCGAUUCUCAUGCAGACAGCCUGGCUCUGGCACUGAGUUCUUGGACACUUCUGGAGGCACAUUUACUAGUGAGGAAGAUCACUGUGUGCUGAAGGCAUGACUCAUCUUCCAUUCCUUUCUUCCAUAAAGCAAGGCGCAUGGGUCGACUGAGCUGGGAGAGUCCACGGUGUCAGCCUCCCCCACGCUUCCCUCCCUCCUUAUUCCUUGUGUGCUGUACUUUGUCUUGAUUUCCUGUACUCUGCACCAAGCCAGGAGAUGGGUGUCUCAAGCUCCUGCUCUUAAAACACCUGCAAGAGAAUCAUCCAGGCGGCUUGCUCGCUCUGCAUGCAGACCCUUUAGAAUCAGAAUCAGAAUCCCUGGGGCUGGAGCCACAAAAUGAAAUGACAUUUCAACAAGUUUGUCAUCACGUAAGAGAGAAUAGGAUCUUGCUCUGUCACCCAGGCUGGAGCACAGUGGCACCGUCUUGGCUCACUGUAGCCUUUGCCUCCUGGGCUCAAGCAGUCUUCCCACCUCAGCCUUCCUGAGUAGCUGGAACUACAGAAACUCCUGGAGGGCAGAUGCAUGCCUGCCAUCUUCAUCGUUUCAUUACCACCAUCCAACACUAUCGGGGGACCUGCCCUGAUAAUCAGCAUGUAACGAGGCUCAACACAACUCUGUAUGGGAACAGUCAGGUUGGAGUCUACAGGUGUAUCCAGCAGCUCCAGAGAGACAGCGACCAGCGAGAAGGGGCCAUGAUGAUGGUGGUGGUUUUGUCAAAACGAAAAGGGGGAUAUGUAGGGAAAAGAAAGAGAGAUCAGACUGUUACUGUGUCUACAUAGAAAGGGAAGCCAUAAGAGACUCCAUUUUGAAAAAGACCUGUACUUUAAACAAUUGCUUGCUGAGAUGUUGUUUAUCUGUAGCUUUGCCCCAGCCACUUUGCCCCAACCACUUUGACCCAAUCUGGAGCUCACAAAAACAUGUUUGUAUGAAAUCAAGGCUUAAGGCAUGUAGGGCUGUGCAGGACGUGCCUUGUUAACCAAAUAUUUGGAAGCAGUAUACUUGGUAAAAGUCAUCACCAUUCUCUCGUCUCAAUAAACCAGGGGCACAAUGCACUGUGGAAAGCCGCAGGGACCUCUGCCCUUGAAAGCUGGGUAUUGUCCAUGGUUUCUUCCCAUGUGAUAGUCUGAAAUAUGGCCUCAUGGGAUGAGAAAGACCUGACGGUCCCCCAGCUCGACACCCAUAAAGUGUCUGUGCUGAGGUGGAUUAGUCAAAGAGGAAAGCCUCUUGCAGUUGAGAUAGAGGAAGGCCGCUGUCUCAUGCUUGCCCCCUGGGAACUGAAUGUCUCGGUAUAAAACACUAUUGUACAUUUGUUCAAUUCUGACAUGGGAGAAAAACCACCCUAUGGUGGGAGGCGAGACAUGUUUGCAGCAAUGCUGCCUUGUUAUUCUUUACUCCACUGAGAUGUCUGGGUGCAGAGAAACAUAAAUCUGGCUUACAUGCACGUCCAGUCAUAGUACCUUCCCUUGAACUUCAUUAUGUCAUAGAUUCUAUUGCUCACAUGUUUGUUGCUGACCUUCUCCUUAUUAUCACCUUGCCCUCCUACUACAUUCAUUUUUGCUGAAAUAAUGAAGAUAAUAAUCAAUAAAAACUGAGGGAACUCAGAGAACGGUGCCAGUGCAGGUCCUUAGCAUGCUAAGCGCCGGUCCCCUGGGCCC
ensembl:lncRNA novel transcript